rnacentral:rRNA from 1 species
UGGGGAAUAUUGGACAAUGGGCGAAAGCCUGAUCCAGCCAUGCCGCGUGUGUGAAGAAGGUCUUCGGAUUGUAAAGCACUUUAAGUUGGGAGGAAGGGCAUUAACCUAAUACGUUAGUGUUUUGACGUUGCCGACAGAAUAAGCACCGGCUAACUCUGUGCCAGCAGCCGCGGUAAUACAGAGGGUGCAAGCGUUAAUCGGAAUUACUGGGCGUAAAGCGCGCGUAGGUGGUUUGUUAAGUUGGAUGUGAAAUCCCCGGGCUCAACCUGGGAACUGCAUUCAAAACUGACUGACUAGAGUAUGGUAGAGGGUGGUGGAAUUUCCUGUGUAGCGGUGAAAUGCGUAGAUAUAGGAAGGAACACCAGUGGCGAAGGCGACCACCUGGACUAAUACUGACACUGAGGUGCGAAAGCGUGGGGAGCAAACA